ACGUAGGGGGCAAGCGUUGUCCGGAUUUACUGGGUGUAAAGGGUGCUCAGGCGGAUUUGUAAGUCAGAGGUGAAAUCCCGAAGCUUAACUUCGGAACUGCCUUUGAUACUGCAAGUCUAGAGUUCAAAAGAGGAUGAUGGAAUAUCUGGUGUAGCAGUGAAAUGCGUAGAUAUCAGAGAGAACACCAAUGGCGAAGGCAGUCAUCUGGUUUGAAACUGACGCUAAAGCACGAAAGUAUGGGGAGCAAACAG
rnacentral:rRNA from 1 species